UGGGGAAUAUUGGGCAAUGGGCGCAAGCCUGACCCAGCAACGCCGCGUGAAGGAAGAAGGUUUUCGGAUUGUAAACUUCUGUCCUAAGUGACGAAACAAAUGACGGUAGCUUAGGAGGAAGCCCCGGCUAACUACGUGCCAGCAGCCGCGGUAAUACGUAGGGGGCGAGCGUUGUCCGGAAUGACUGGGCGUAAAUGGCGUGUAGGCGGCUCUUUAAGUAUGGAGUGAAAACCCGUUUUUCAAGGACGGGCCUGCUUUGUAGACUGGAGAGCUUGAGUGCGGAAGAGGUAAGUGGAAUUCCCAGUGUAGCGGUGAAAUGCGUAGAGAUUGGGAGGAACACCAGUGGCGAAGGCGACUUACUGGGCCGUAACUGACGCUGAGGCGCGAAAGCGUGGGGAGCGAACAGGAUUAGAUACCCUGGUA
rnacentral:rRNA from 1 species